UACGAAGGGGGCUAGCGUUGCUCGGAAUUACUGGGCGUAAAGGGAGCGUAGGCGGAUAGUUCAGUCAGAGGUGAAAGUCCAGGGCUCAACCUUGGAAUUGCCUUUGAUACUGGCUGUCUUGAGUAUGGGAGAGGUUAGCGGAACUCCGAGUGUAGAGGUGAAAUUCGUAGAUAUUCGGAAGAACACCAGUGGCGAAGGCGGCUAACUGGCCCAUUACUGACGCUGAGGCUCGAAAGCGUGGGGAGCAAACAGG
rnacentral:rRNA from 1 species